AGUUGCUUCUCGAGUUUGCUGGUACCCUUAUUUCUGUGGACGGACGUUAAGGAGACAUGAGCUGAUAGCGAAAUUAACGAAGCAGGCGAGGCAUGGAAGCUGCGAAGGUGACUGUGAAAGCCGUGGCUCUGAUCGCCGGAGAUAACAGCAUCAGAGGAGCUCUUCAGUUUGUGCAACACCCCGAUGGAACUACUCAUGUAAAAGGGAGAAUCACUGGGUUGUCCCCUGGCCUUCACGGAUUCCAUAUUCACGCCCUCGGUGACACCACUAAUGGCUGCAAUUCCACUGGCCCUCAUUUCAAUCCCUUCAAGAAGGACCAUGGGGCGCGAACAGAUGAUGAGCGUCAUGCUGGAGAUUUGGGUAACAUUGUUGCAGGCAUGGAUGGGGUUGCUAAUGUUUCAAUCACAGACAGACAGAUACCACUAAGUGGGGUUCAUUCCAUACUUGGAAGGGCAGUUGUUGUGCAUGCUGAUCCUGACGAUCUUGGCAGAGAUCCUAUGCAGAAAAUGUGUUUAAACUAUACUCGCGAGGUUGUUACCUGAAGUGACUUCAGAAUGAAGUUGCGGAUAUCGAGAUAUGUCCAUUUUGCAGCUAUGAUAAUUGAAAUGAAUGUGGUAACUGCACAUAUUUGCACCUAAAAGGUCAAACAAAGCUUCAAAAUCACGCCUAGGAUGUGAUGAAGGCGAACGAGUGUAGGCCUUUUAAAAGCAAAGCCAAAAGUUGAAUUUUUAUCAAUAGUUGGAGUGUACAGUGCUUCUCUAGACAGUGACACUUGAUAUUCAAGUAAAAGCAUGGCAAUCAUUACUUGAUAUACGGUCAAGGGGAGCUGGAAAUUAAAUGGCCGUGUAGUUUAUUCUCUGGGAAGGCAUAUGUUGAUUGCCAUCUAGUGUGAAUCGAAUUCUUUUUCCCUGCGAAGAGCGAAUAUUUUGUGCAUGUAUUACUCGGGUUAAAAAUAAUCUACAUGCUCAAUUAUAUUUCAGCAUUUCAGGUUAAGACAGAAGUCCAAUUUACCAUGUGUUUUCCCUCAAAUUGACCUAUUAGUAUUUACUUUUCAUUAAGGUACAAGGUUGUGAAGCACAUUUGAUCAAUUCUCUGCUAUUCAUUCCACCAAAUAAAGAAACGCAGGCGCAACUUUUAGGUGUUUGCCACCAAGUUUCUCAAUAACUUCAUGACAAAUAAUGGCUUUAGGUGGCCAUGAACUAAGCAAGACCACUGGUAAUGCUGGUGCAAGAGUAGGAUGCGGUAUCAUUGGCCUCCAAUCAUCUGUUUAAGUCUUUAAGAUGCCUCGGCUGCAGAUAGUUGACGAUCCAUAAAUGCUAUAUACGCAAACAUUGGCCAUUAGUUUUCUCGUCAGUAGUGGUCAUGCUACCACUUCGUUACUACUUUCUGAGCUUGUGCGAUGACCGUUAGAACUUAGAAGCAUGCUCUCUUCGAUGCAUGUUGGAGAUUUUCAACCUGAUGGAAGAACAUUGUGUUAUCCCCAUUAUAUGCUUUUGAUUGGGUCUUCUGUAAUAGGGUUACCAUUUUUAUAUGAAAAAAUUACUGUGUUGUAAA